AUGUGUACGUACGUGCAUGUGUGUGUGCGUGUAUAUUCUAUAGCACACCACAGGGCUGGGACAAUCUCAGUCUCUACAAUGCACGGCCAAGACAAUGCAAAACAAGCAGCUUGGGAGCACUUCCCAGGUCCCACUGAGCUACACGCGCUCACGUCUCCUCCACCCACUGUCUGCUCUGUUCAACACCACAUUGCCCAAGGUGGAGAUUUCUGCUGCUGUGUCCCCAAUGUGUCCCACCUGAGCAUUGCUGUCUUCCUUAUAACAUCUUCUCCAGUCCUGCGCCCUCAUUUUUCCUCCUCCAUGUCCCAAGCCGACUUAAAGAGAAGAUGGAAUCCAAGUGGGCAUUUAUACCCCACACGUACACACGAGCCUGAGACACAAUGGAC